rnacentral:rRNA from 1 species
GAUGAACGCUGGCGGCGUGCCUAAUACAUGCAAGUCGAGCGAACAGACGAGGAGCUUGCUCCUCUGACGUUAGCGGCGGACGGGUGAGUAACACGUGGAUAACCUACCUAUAAGACUGGGAUAACUUCGGGAAACCGGAGCUAAUACCGGAUAAUAUAUUGAACCGCAUGGUUCAAUAGUGAAAGACGGUUUUGCUGUCACUUAUAGAUGGAUCCGCGCCGCAUUAGCUAGUUGGUAAGGUAACGGCUUACCAAGGCAACGAUGCGUAGCCGACCUGAGAGGGUGAUCGGCCACACUGGAACUGAGACACGGUCCAGACUCCUACGGGAGGCAGCAGUAGGGAAUCUUCCGCAAUGGGCGAAAGCUUGACGGAGCAAAGCCGCGUGAGUGAUGAAGGUCUUCGGAUCGGAAAACUCUGUUAUUAGGGAAGAACAAAUGUGUAAGUAACUAUGCACGUCUUGACGGUACCUAAUCAGAAAGCCACGGCUAACUACGUG